GGACGAGUCCAGUGUGACAAAGACGUCCUCAGAGAGGGACGGCUCAGACUUCAUGUGUCCAGACUCAGCAUUAAUGACUCGGGUCCGUACAGGUGUGAAGUGUACACCAAUUAUGGUUGGGGCAGUCGGGGAAUUUGGCUGAAUGUCUCUGCAGCGACGGAUCCUCCUGCAAACAGCCCACCACCACCAAGAUGGGAAAUGAUCGCUGUUAAACUUUGUCAGGCAGCCGGAGCAGGCAGUGUGCUGUUUGCUUUUUACUUAUUAUGUCACCCUCAACCUAAACAAGUCCCGUUAGUGCGACUUUCGUAUGAGGACACAAAAAUAUCAACAAAUAAUGAGCAACAAGUUUAAUGCUUCAAACACCACCAGUGAGGGGGGCGGCACGUGGCUUUGUGGUUAACACUGUUGCCUCACAGUAAGAGGGUCCUUGGUUCCUUGGAUCUUUGCAGAAAAAAGAUCUGUGGUGAACAACGUUAUCCUGCUGGAAGCAGCCAUCAGAGGACGGGUACACUGUGGACACGAAGAGAUGGACAUGUCCAACAACAUGUCAUACAACAAAACCCUUGUUGCUAAAAACCUCUUUUUCUGAGACAACGAUGUACAGGUAUAAUGUCGAGAGUAUAUUUGUGUAUUUUAAAUUCUAAAUUUUGACAUCAGAAAUAACUCGUCAGUGUAAAUAUUGCCUCUAUUGUUCCAGAUCUUUGAUGUCAAGCAUCAUAAAUUGAGAGAAAAUGACGUUAAUGUCACUUGUUGAGCUGAAAUGUAAACUGUGAGCGUCUUCUGUCCUCUGCUGAUGGACAUCCAUACAGUGCACUGUGUUUUCUACUGUAAUAUUUAUAAUGUUUUCAUAUGUUUCAUAAAUCUCUGUUUCUAUAAGAGGAG